UACGUAGGGUGCAAGCGUUAAUCGGAAUUACUGGGCGUAAAGCGUGCGUAGUCGGUUAUUUAAGUCGGGUGUGAAAGCCCCGGGCUCAACCUGGGAAUUGCAUUCGAUACUGGAUAGCUAGAGUUCGGCAGAGGGAAGCGGAAUUUCCGGUGUAGCGGUGAAAUGCGCAGAUAUCAGGAGGAACACCGGUGGCGAAGGCGGGUCUCCGGGCCGUAACUGACGCUGAGGAGCGAAAGCAUGGGGAGCGAACAGG
rnacentral:rRNA from 1 species